rnacentral:rRNA from 1 species
CGUCUCGUGGGCUCGGAGAUGUGUAUAAGAGACAGGGACGGAGGCCUUCGGGUCGUAAACCGCUUUCAGCAGGGAAGAGUCAAGACUGUACCUGCAGAAGAAGCCCCGGCUAACUACGUGCCAGCAGCCGCGGUAAUACGUAGGGGGCGAGCGUUAUCCGGAUUCAUUGGGCGUAAAGCGCGCGUAGGCGGCCCGGCAGGCCGGGGGUCGAAGCGGGGGGCUCAACCCCCCGAAGCCCCCGGAACCUCCGCGGCUUGGGUCCGGUAGGGGAGGGUGGAACACCCGGUGUAGCGGUGGAAUGCGCAGAUAUCGGGUGGAACACCGGUGGCGAAGGCGGCCCUCUGGGCCGAGACCGACGCUGAGGCGCGAAAGCUGGGGGAGCGAACAGGAUUAGAUACCCUGGUAGUCCCAGCCGUAAACGAUGGACGCUAGGUGUGGGGGGACGAUCCCCCCGUGCCGCAGCCAACGCAUUAAGCGUCCCGCCUGGGGAGUACGGCCGCAAGGCUAAAACUCAAAGGAAUUGACGGGGGCCCGCACAAGCAGCGGAGCAUGUGGCUUAAUUCGAAGCAACGCGAAGAACCUUACCAGGGCUUGACAUAUGGGUGAAGCGGGGGAGACCCCGUGGCCGAGAGGAGCCCAUACAGGUGGUGCAUGGCUGUCGUCAGCUCGUGUCGUGAGAUGUUGGGUUAAGUCCCGCAACGAGCGCAACCCCCGCCGCGUGUUGCCAUCGGGUGAUGCCGGGAACCCACGCGGGACCGCCGCCGUCAAGGCGGAGGAGGGCGGGGACGACGUCAAGUCAUCAUGCCCCUUAUGCCCUGGGCUGCACACGUGCUACAAUGGCCGGUACAGAGGGAUGCCACCCCGCGAGGGGGAGCGGAUCCCGGAAAGCCGGCCCCAGUUCGGAUUGGGGGCUGCAACCCGCCCCCAUGAAGUCGGAGUUGCUAGUAAUCGCGGAUCAGCAUGCCGCGGUGAAUGCGUUCCCGGGCCUUGUACACACCGCCCGUCACACCACCCGAGUCGUCUGCACCCGAAGUCGCCGGCCCAACCGAGAGGGGGGAGGCGCCGAAGGUGUGGAGGGUGAGGGGGGUGAAGUCGUAACAAGGUAGCCGUACCGGAAGGUGCGGCUG